rnacentral:rRNA from 1 species
UACGAAGGGGGCUAGCGUUGCUCGGAAUCACUGGGCGUAAAGGGCGCGUAGGCGGCGUUUUAAGUCGGGGGUGAAAGCCUGUGGCUCAACCACAGAAUGGCCUCGAUACUGGGACGCUUGAGUAUGGUAGAGGUUGGUGGAACUGCGAGUGUAGAGGUGAAAUUCGUAGAUAUUCGCAAGAACACCGGAGGCGAAGGCGGCCAACUGGUGAAAUAUUGACGCUGAGGUGCGAAAAGCGUGGGGAGCAAACAGG